rnacentral:rRNA from 1 species
CUCGAGGCCAGAUCUUUCCGGUUGAUCCUGCCGGAUCUGACUGCUAUCGGAUUGAUACUAAGCCAUGCGAGUCAUUGUAGCAAUACAAGGCAGACGGCUCAGUAACGCGUAGUCAACCUACCCCAUGGACGGGAAUAACCUCGGGAAACUGAGUAUAAUGCCCGAUAGAACAUUAUGCCUGGAAUGGUUUAUGUUCCAAAUGAUUUAUCGCCGUAGGAUGGGACUGCGGCCUAUCAGUUUGUUGGUGAGGUAAUGGCCCACCAAGACUAUUACAGGUACGGGCUCUGAGAGGAGUGGCCCGGAGAUGGGUACUGAGACACGGACCCAGGCCCUAUGGGGCGCAGCAGGCGAGAAAACUUUGCAAUGUGCGAAAGCACGACAAGGUUAAUCCGAGUGAUUUCUGCUAAAGGAAUCUUUUGCCGGUCCUAGAAACACCGGUGAAUAAGGGGUGGGCAAGUUCUGGUGUCAGCCGCCGCGGUAAAACCAGCACCUCAAGUGGUCAGGAUGAUUAUUGGGCCUAAAGCAUCCGUAGCCGGCUCUGUUAGUUUUCGGUUAAA